ACCCUAGCAGCGGCAAAAAAAAAAAAGGAAAAAGAAAAAAACCCUCGGCCGCGACGGUUCCAUCGCCCCUCUCAUCUCUCUCGCUCUCUCCGGCGCGAUGCGCCGCGCCGCCUGGAUCUCGCCGCGCCAUGGCCGCCGCCCGCUCUUCUCCUUUUGCGCCCGGCACAGCGACAAUGACGGCCACGCGGAUCACGUGAGUGAACUGGUGGCCGCCCUCAACUCUUCUCCCUCUCCAUCCCCAUUCUCUUCCUUUCCGGGUAGGCGGAGGCCUGUGACAACGAUGGCCGCGCGGGCGAGCCGUCGAGGAGGCGGAGAAUCACCAGAUCUGGUAGGGCGGCGGCCCGAUUCGGAGAGGAAGCAGCCCGAUCUGUGACAUUGGCUUCCAUUUCCGGCCAGCGGUGGUCUCCAGGACGGCGGAUGCCGCUGGAUCUGAUGGAUGGUGGGCUCCUGGUUGGCUCCAAUGCUCCAUCAUACCUCCCUAUUUGCUUUCUUCAAAGGAGUCUGAGGUAGAUGGUGGACCACUGAUCUCCUCUCGUGCCCCUGUGUUCGUGCACACCACCUCCGCACCGACUUACCAUGCAUGCCGGCGUAUGCGGAGGAGCCUAGGUGCCGGCUACGGUGAGCUUACACGAAGGGCAUUGGUGGGUUCCCAGAGGGUGGUGGCAUCUCCAUCCCCACAUGUCGCCGCCUUGCUGCCUGGCCCCGGUUGUCGGUCACAGCCUCCAUGUCAUCAGCCACUGUGACCAGGUUGCAACUCCACCACUCUUUCACCUAACGUGACCCACUAAGAAGCUCAGUUUGAUGGCGAUGAGGUUGCUUUGGUGUUGUAGCUGUCAAUCUGGCUGGGCAUUUCUUUCAUGGGUUCAUCUAAGAUUCAUCGUAGUGUGUGCUGAUGACUUUAAAUUACUAAUGAGUUACUGCACAAUAUUAUUUGUUUUCAAGUAUAAUAAUUGAUAUAUCUUUGUAGUUGAAGUACAAGUACGCUGAUUUGUUCCAACAAAAUAUAUCAAUGUAUAAUACUUUUAUGGAUGAUUCGAUGAUGCUUCAUCCAAAUGUAGUCAUGCAUAUUAUGUCAAAAUAGACUGGCUUUGCACUUUUAGUUCGUUCAUUACGAAUAGCAUCUUUUUUAAUUAUCAUGUCCCUGAAGGUAGCGGAUUCUAUUAAUCUAUUAAACUAAUUUAUAAUGAGCACGUUUGUAACUUGACAUUAGCUGAAUUUUUACAUGCAGAACCUGAGGCUAAGCUUAUGCACUAGCUGGUAUGGUACUACUGCUACUGCGACCCUAAAAAAGCUAAACCAUCUAGAUCAGAACUCUAUAUUAUUGUUAAAACCUAAUGAUCUGCAUUACAGUGCUUUACUCUAUUUUUUGGAUGUGAUUAUUAAAGCUCGCUAUGUGUCUGUUCUUUUUUGCAAUGUAUAAAAUCAAUUUAUCUCAAAAUUUGUUGCUGCUUUGAUUCUAUUUCAAGUUGCCUAAUCUGCCCAACGUCAAUCAGCUGUCACCUUACAAUAGAUUUCAUUAUUGCUUUGCAAAUAAUAUUAGAAGGGCCAAAGAAAAUGCGAUGAAUUUUUGCAAGAUCAAAUUUUGGCAUUGUUGUCUGCUAUAUUAGUUGCUGAUGAAAGAAUUGUUAUUUAAUUUCACUUCUCUAAUUCUUAUAGGCUUUAGCUGAUGUAGUGGUUUCAGUAGCAACAUGAUAGGCUUAUGACUCCCUGAAUCAGAACAAAGGAUGCCAACAUUGGUGUCCUCUUCUAGGAGGGGCAAUGGCACCGCUGGCAACCAGCAACAUACGUGAUUGGUGCAUUUUGUUUGGCUGACCAUUGUAUGUUGCCUCCUUAAUUUGAGUUCACCAUUUCAUUAUAUAUGUCGGAAGCGAAAAUUUAGUUGAUUGUUUAUUAAACUAUGUGCCUUGCAUAUAUUAGUUUUAUGAUUUAGUUAUUUGUGAACAAGAAAUCUGUUGCAAGUUAUAGCUAAAGAUUGGUAGAGUCAUAAAAGAUUUAAUUAUCAUGAUAUCAUAGGCAUUAGCUCUGAACAUAUUAAAUAUCAUGAUAUCCACAUCCCCACGAUGUGCAACCCAAUUUAACUCGAUAUAAAAAGAUGAUGUUUCAUUGUUUUCUAAUUUGCAUUCAAGUAAUGCCUAUGAUGUUUUGCAAAUGUAACUGACUUAUCCUUCACAUGCUUCUCAUGUUGUGCAUUGGAUGGCAUGAAGUUGAUAUUGCAACUCACUUUGAAUCUUCUACCUAAUGCUUCUAAUAUUUAUACCCAUUUUUACUUAGCAUGCGAUGAUUAGUUAGCGCUUAGACUAGCAUAUAAAAAGAUUGACUUUUGAUUGGGUCCUGAUUCCUGAAGUUGGAGUUUUCUUUGAAAUGACUAAUGAUAUUAUUUGCUCUUGCCAUAUAAGUGACUUUUCAGGACUCUUGAUAUAUAAUUAUUUGUUUGGGACAAUAAAGCUUCGGUUUAGGAUGAUGAGCUCUGCCCUGCAGCACUUCUCAAGCAGCUAUGUAAAGUGGAAGCGAUUAGACGUAGCAAAUUAUACGCCUCUUCCAUUUGCACAUCAACUAAAAGGCCCUUGCAGUGAAUUCAAAGGGAAAAGGGGGCAAUUGCUGCAAAGGCAUCCAAACCACAUUAGAAUUUAACCAUUUGUGAUGUGUUCGUAUGUAUUCAUCUAGCGGAACUGUUUCUAUUCUAUCACUGUAACACUACUAUGUAUUGUCUACCCUUACACCAUACAUGUGCCAAAUUUCGCUAUAUAUAACUGUCUACGAUUUGCAUGUA